AGAGUUUGAUCCUGGCUCAGAACGAACGUUGGCGGCAGGCUUAACACAUGCAAGUCGAGCGCCCUGCUUGCAGGGAGCGGCAGACGGGUGAGUAACGCGUGGGAACCUACCUAAUAGUACGGAAUAACAGUUGGAAACGACUGCUAAUACCGUAUACGCCCUUUGGGGGAAAGAUUUAUCGCUAUUAGAUGGGCCCGCGUUGGAUUAGCUAGUUGGUGGGGUAAUGGCCUACCAAGGCGACGAUCUAUAGCUGGUCUGAGAGGAUGAUCAGCCACACUGGGACUGAGACACGGCCCAGACUCCUACGGGAGGCAGCAGUGGGGAAUAUUGGACAAUGGGCGCAAGCCUGAUCCAGCCAUGCCGCGUGAGUGAUGAAGGCCUUAGGGUUGUAAAGCUCUUUCGCUGGGGAAGAUAAUGACGGUACCUAGUAAAGAAGCCCCGGCUAACUUCGUGCCAGCAGCCGCGGUAAUACGAAGGGGGCUAACGUUGUUCGGAUGUACUGGGCGUAAAGCGCACGUAGGCGGAUUAGUAAGUUAGGGGUGAAAUCCCGGAGCUCAACUCCGGAACUGCCUUUAAUACUGCUAGUCUAGAGAUCGGGAGGGGUGUAUG
rnacentral:rRNA from 1 species